GACGAAGGUCCCAAGCGUUAUCCGGUGUUACUAGGCGUAAAGCGUCCGCAGGUGGCCCAACACAUCUCUAGUUAAAUCCUGGGGCUCAACUCCAGGCCCACUAGAGAGAUGGUUGGGCUAGAGGCAGGGAGAGGCAAUCGGAACGGCUGGUGUAGCAGUAAAAUGCGUUAAUAUCAGCCGGAACACCAAAUGCGAAGGCAGAUUGCUGGAACUGUCCUGACACUCAGGGACGAAAGCGUGGGGAGCGAAUGGG
rnacentral:misc_RNA from 1 species